rnacentral:rRNA from 1 species
GACAUAAUGCAACUAGCACAAUCUAAAAAUCCCCUCCACCGAAUGCCUAAGGUUUCCUGAGGAAGGCUCGUCCGCUCAGGGUUAGUCGGGACCUAAGCCGAGGCCGAAAGGCGUAGGCGAUGGGCAACAGGUUGAUAUUCCUGUACCACCUCCUCACCAUUUGAGCAAUGGGGGGACGCAGGAGGAUAGGGUAAGCGCGGUAUUGGAUAUCCGCGUCCAAGCAGUUAGGCUGGGAAAUAGGCAAAUCCGUUUCCCAUAAGGCUGAGCUGUGAUGGCGAGCGAAAUAUAGUAGCGAAGUUCCUGAUUCCACACUGCCAAGAAAAGCCUCUAGCGAGGUGAGAGGUGCCCGUACCGCAAACCGACACAGGUAGGCGAGGAGAGAAUCCUAAGGUGAUCGAGAGAACUCUCGUUAAGGAACUCGGCAAAAUGACCCCGUAACUUCGGGAGAAGGGGUGCUCUGUUAGGGUGCAAGCCCGAGAGAGCCGCAGUGAAUAGGCCCAGGCGACUGUUUAGCAAGAACACAGGUCUCUGCGAAGCCGUAAGGCGAAGUAUAGGGGCUGACGCCUGCCCGGUGCUGGAAGGUUAAGAGGAGCGCUUAGCGUAAGCGAAGGUGCGAAUUGAAGCCCCAGUAAACGGCGGCCGUAACAAUAACGGUCCUAAGGUAACGAAAUUCCUUGUCGGGUAAGUUCCGACCCGCACGAAAGGCGCAACGAUCUGGGCACUGUCUCAACGAGAGACUCGGUGAAAUUAUAGUACCUGUGAAGAUGCAGGUUACCCGCAACAGGACGGAAAGACCCCGUGGGGCUUUACUGCAGCCUGAUAUUGAAUGUUGGUACAGCUUGUACAGGAUAGGUAGGAGCCUUGGAAACCGGAGCGCCAGCUUCGGUGGAGGCAUCGGUGGGAUACUACCCUGGCUGUAUUGACCUUCUAACCCGCCGCCCUUAUCGGGCGGGGAGACAGUGUCAGGUGGGCAGUUUGACUGGGGCGGUCGCCUCCUAAAAGGUAACGGAGGCGCCCAAAGGUUCCCUCAGAAUGGUUGGAAAUCAUUCGCAGAGUGUAAAGGCACAAGGGAGCUUGACUGCGAGACCUACAAGUCGAGCAGGGACGAAAGUCGGGCUUAGUGAUCCGGUGGUUCCGCAUGGAAGGGCCAUCGCUCAACGGAUAAAAGCUACCCCGGGGAUAACAGGCUUAUCUCCCCCAAGAGUCCACAUCGACGGGGAGGUUUGGCACCUCGAUGUCGGCUCAUCGCAUCCUGGGGCUGUAGUCGAUCCCAAGGGUUGGGCUGUUCGCCCAUUAAAGCGGUACGCGAGCUGGGUUCAGAACGUCGUGAGACAGUUCGGUCCCUAUCCGUCGCGGGCGCAGGAAAUUUGAGAGGAGCUGUCCUUAGUACGAGAGGACCGGGAUGGACGCACCGCUGGUGUACCAGUUGUUCUGCCAAGGGCAUCGCUGGGUAGCUAUGUGCGGACGGGAUAAGUGCUGAAAGCAUCUAAGCAUGAAGCCCCCCUCAAGAUGAGAUUUCCCAUUCCGCAAGGAAGUAAGAUCCCUGAAAGAUGAUCAGGUUGAUAGGUCUGAGGUGGAAGUGUGGCGACACAUGGAGCUGACAGAUACUAAUCGAUCGAGGACUUAACC